ACAGGUGCUGCAUGGCUGUCGUCAGCUCGUGUUGUGAAAUGUUGGGUUAAGUCCCGCAACGAGCGCAACCCUUAUCCUUUGUUGCCAGCGGUCCGGCCGGGAACUCAAAGGAGACUGCCAGUGAUAAACUGGAGGAAGGUGGGGAUGACGUCAAGUCAUCAUGGCCCUUACGACCAGGGCUACACACGUGCUACAAUGGCAUAUACAAAGAGAAGCGACCUCGCGAGAGCAAGCGGACCUCAUAAAGUAUGUCGUAGUCCGGAUUGGAGUCUGCAACUCGACUCCAUGAAGUCGGAAUCGCUAGUAAUCGUGGAUCAGAAUGCCACGGUGAAUACGUUCCCGGGCCUUGUACACACCGCCCGUCACACCAUGGGAGUGGGUUGCAAAAGAAGUAGGUAGCUUAACCUUCGGGAGGGCGCUUACCACUUUGUGAUUCAUGACUGGGGUGAAGUCGUAACAAGGUAACCGUAGGGGAACCUGCGGUUGGAUCACCUCCUUACCUUAAAGAA
rnacentral:rRNA from 1 species